rnacentral:rRNA from 1 species
UCGGCAAUGGGCGAAAGCCUGACCGAGCGACGCCGCGUGCGGGAUGAAGGCCUUCGGGUUGCAAACCGCUGUCGUAGAGGAGGAAAUGCAGGGGGGUUCUCCCUCCUGUUUGACCUAUUCUAGGAGGAAGGACGGGCUAAGUUCGUGCCAGCAGCCGCGGUAAGACGAACCGUCCAAACGUUACUCGGAAUUACUGGGCUUAAAGGGUGCGUAGGCUGCGCGGAAAGUUGGGUGUGAAAUCCCUCAGCUCAACUGGGGAAUUGCAUUCAAAACUACCGUGCUCGAGGGAGACAGAGGUAAGCGGAACUCAAGGUGGAGCGGUGAAAUGCGUUGAUAUCUUGAGGAACACCGGUGGCGAAAGCGGCUUACUGGGUCUCUUCUGACGCUGAGGCACGAAAGCUAAGGUAGCAAACGGGAUUAGAUACCCCGGUAGUCUUAGCUGUAAACGAUGAGCACUUGUUUGAAGGGUCCUCCAUAGCCUUUCAGACGUAGCGAAAGUGUUAAGUGCUCCGCCUGGGGAGUAUGGUCGCAAGGCUGAAACUCAAAGAA